UUGUUACUCCCUCCGUUCGAAAUUACUCGUCUAAAAAAUGAAUGUAUCUAGAUGUAUUUUAGUUGUAGAUACAUUCAUUUUUGUGACAAGUAAUUCCGAACAAAAGGAGUACAUC
rnacentral:pre_miRNA from 1 species